GACGAACGCUGGCGGCGUGCUUAACACAUGCAAGUCGAACGGAAAGGCCCUGCUUUUGUGGGGUGCUCGAGUGGCGAACGGGUGAGUAACACGUGAGUAACCUGCCCUUGACUUUGGGAUAACUUCAGGAAACUGGGGCUAAUACCGGAUAGGAGCUCCUGCUGCAUGGUGGGGGUUGGAAAGUUUCGGCGGUUGGGGAUGGACUCGCGGCUUAUCAGCUUGUUGGUGGGGUAGUGGCUUACCAAGGCUUUGACGGGUAGCCGGCCUGAGAGGGUGACCGGCCACAUUGGGACUGAGAUACGGCCCAGACUCCUACGGGAGGCAGCAAUGGGGAAUAUUGCACAAUGGGCGGAAGCCUGAUGCAGCAACUCCGCGUGCGGGAUGACGGCCUUCGGGUUGUAAACCGCUUUCGCCUGUGACGAAGCGUGAGUGACGGUAAUGGGUAAAGAAGCACCGGCUAACUACGUG
rnacentral:rRNA from 1 species